GCGAACCCUGCGACGACGGCGUCAGCCUCCGAGCGCAGCCGAAGCGUGCGGCAUUGAUAAGAGACCCAGGCAUUGCUAGGAGAAUGCUGACUAAGAGACAACAGCCCGGUGACAGCAGGAACUUUCCAGACAGCGAGGUGGCCUUCUUUUGCACGUGACACGGAGCAGCAUCUGCAGAUAAGUCGAUGGCUGUGAGCCACAGAGGGGAUGAUAGUGGGGUGCUGGGUUGGGACUCACAGGGAGGGAUUUUUGAGUCUGCUUUGGAGUUGGGGAUGUCCAAGAAGUGGCCCCUUAGGCCACAGAAAAGCCAAGUGUCACUUUUGAUCACAAUGCUGAGGUGCUCAGGGCAGAGCAGUCCCGGAGGGUAUCGUGUCAGUUGUCUAUUGUGCGUUCUGUGUGUUUGGCUUUCUCAUGUCUUUUACCUUAGCCCUUUGAGGGGCCUAUCAGAAACCCUGGCAUCAUUCUUAGCAUCUGUGAUCUCUGCAUUUCUUGGCCUGGCACCAAUGCCACAGGACUUUUGACUCAGGAGCUCAGAUAGGUAUCAGAAUUGCACUUCUCUUUAGGAGCAUCCAGUCAGAUGUCUUUGCAGGUCUUGUUCUGAGCUGUAUGUACCUUGCAAGGAUCCAUUAUUGCAGAUUAGGACUUGUAAGAAUGCGAGGAUAGGUAGAGGAUUCUGACUAUAGAAUUCACAGGCAUCCAUCUUUGCAGUUCUUAAAACAAAUCAUUCAGUUAGCAUCUUCUUCCUACCAGGGCUCUCUGAGCCUCAUCGGCUCACCAUCGGUCUCACCUCAGUCCUCUCAUUUUGCAUUCUCUCAGUCCUUGCAGUCAUUCUUCUUGCCAAGAGAUUCCUGUCCCUGUUGUGUCCCCCUUGUUUGUCAUGUCGUGUCCUGUGUCACGGGUGUCUGCACAUAUUUGUGCCGGAGCUGCUCUGCCCUGCUGCAUAGCCUGGUGUAAUAGGACAAAUCCUGGGGGCUUGAAAUUUGUAGUGUGGGGUGUAGUUUGACUCUAGAUAGUAUUCCUAGGUUGACCCAAGCUUUCUGGAGCUGUGAAGUGGUCCUGCAGCCCUUUGACCUUUGUCCUAACUUUCUUUCAGAUGCAGACGGAUAAAAUCCAUGGCAGAGCAGCCCAUCUCAGGAAGUAAAGUGAUAGAGCAACAGUCAAGUUGAAGUGGUCAAGG